GAUGAACGCUGGCGGCGUGCCUAAUACAUGCAAGUCGAGCGCACGGACGAGAAGCUUGCUUCUCUGAUGUUAGCGGCGGACGGGUGAGUAGCACGUGGAUAACCUACCUAUAAGACUGGGAUAACUUCGGGAAACCGGAGCUAAUACCGGAUAAUAUUUUGAACCGCAUUGUUCAAAAGUGAAAGACGGUCUUGCUGUCACUUAUAGAUGGAUCCGCGCUGCAUUAGCUAGUUGGUAAGGUAACGGCUUACGAAGGCAACGAUGCAUAGCCGACCUGAGAGGGUGAUCGGCCACACUGGAACUGAGACACGGUCCAGACUCCUACGGGAGGCAGCAGUAGGGAAUCUUCCGCAAUGGGCGAAAGCCUGACGGAGCAACGCCGCGUGAGUGAUGAAGGUCUUCGGAUCGUAAAACCCUGUUAUUAGGGAAGAACAUAUGUGUAAGUAACUGUGCACAUCUUGACGGUACCUAAUCAGAAAGCCACGGCUAACUACGUG
rnacentral:rRNA from 1 species